rnacentral:rRNA from 1 species
AGGACGAACGCUGGCGGCGUGCUUAACACAUGCAAGUCGAGCGGUAAGGCCUUUCGGGGUACACGAGCGGCGAACGGGUGAGUAACACGUGGGUGAUCUGCCCUGCACUCUGGGAUAAGCCUGGGAAACUGGGUCUAAUACCGGAUAUGACCUGCUCUCGCAUGGGGGUGGGUGGAAAGAUUUAUCGGUGCAGGAUGGGCCCGCGGCCUAUCAGCUUGUUGGUGGGGUAAUGGCCUACCAAGGCGACGACGGGUAGCCGACCUGAGAGGGUGACCGGCCACACUGGGACUGAGACACGGCCCAGACUCCUACGGGAGGCAGCAGUGGGGAAUAUUGCACAAUGGGCGAAAGCCUGAUGCAGCGACGCCGCGUGAGGAUGAAGGCCUUCGGGUUGUAAACCUCUUUCAGCGCCGACGAAGCGAGAGUGACGGUAGCGCAGAAGAAGCGACCGGCCAACGUACCGUACCAGCAGCCGC